UACGUAGGGCGCAAGCGUUGUCCGGAAUUAUUGGGCGUAAAGAGCUCGUAGGCGGCUUGUCACGUCGGGUGUGAAAGGCCCGGGGCUUAACCCCGGGUCUGCAUUCGAUACGGGCUAGCUAGAGUGUGGUAGGGGAGAUCGGAAUUCCUGGUGUAGCGGUGAAAUGCGCAGAUAUCAGGAGGAACACCGGUGGCGAAGGCGGAUCUCUGGGCCAUUACUGACGCUGAGGAGCGAAAGCGUGGGGAGCGAACAGG
rnacentral:rRNA from 1 species